CCCCCCACCACCUCCCGUUCAUUAUCCUUGGUCUUCACCUCCACCUACACCUACAUCUCCAUCUACCGAACAUCAGACCCCUCCAGCUACCUUGCCGACGCAUGAACGAGAAGACGGGUUAGACUUUGUCGAAACCCUCUUCGCUAGUGGAGGUAUCGACCAGCACUCGUCACUGUAACCCGAUGGUGAUCGGCGACCGUUAGCUUCCAUGUUAUUGUGUUAUGAUACUUGAGACUUUUAUUAUGACUAUGUAUGAGAUAUUGUCUCUUAUUAGUACUGGAUGAUGA